AGACGGAGGGAGCAAGCGUUGCUCGGAAUCACUGGGCGUAAAGCGCGUGUAGGCGGCUUGGUAAGUCGGGUGUGAAAUCCCGGGGCCCAACCCCGGAACUGCAUUCGAAACUGCCUAGCUAGAGUCUCGGAGAGGAAGGCGGAAUUCCCGGUGUAGAGGUGAAAUUCGUAGAUAUCGGGAGGAACACCAGCGGCGAAGGCGGCCUUCUGGACGAUGACUGACGCUGAGACGCGAAAGCGUGGGGAGCAAACAGGAUUAGAUACCCCAGUAGUCC
rnacentral:rRNA from 1 species